GUGGUCUCUCCUCUUCCCAUACACACCUUACGGUUUCUUCACAGGGUGUGAUGAUGGGAAGCCUAGACACGCUUAUCAGAAGUUUGUCCUCUUAUCGGGAUACGUCAGAAAUUAGAGAGACCCUGGCAAUCACAGCUUCCACCUCCUCAUUUUACAAAUGAGCAACUAGGCUCAGAGUACAGAAGUGGCUUUCCCAGGGUCACACAGCCAGCUUGUGACAGAGUCAGGAUUCAAGUACCAUCUCCUGACUUCUCCAUUGCACCAGACGUUGAUAGAACACAGAGAACCUAAAAGAAGAAAUAAAAAAAAAAAUAGAGCUUUUGGGAAUAUAUUGGGCUUCUGGUUUUCAAGGACAAUUUUAUGAUAAGUAGCAAUGAUGCCUCAAAAGCUCUGGUAGCUAGCUUGAAUGAACUUAUGUAAUAAACAUUUAUCACAGAACAUGUGUCAUCAAACACCUGCCAGUUCUGAGCGUUGGCACCAAAGCUGCUUUCAUUGUCAAAGAAAAGAGGGGGAAAGGAACUUGGCUGAACAAAGCUGGCAGACGUUUAUACUAGAAAAUUUAGAGAUGUCAGGAGCAAGGGAGCACCAGUGGUAGAAGAACCUGCCUCCCCUGGCUCCAUCAAAGGCCACAGGCCCAUGAGAAUCACCCGGCCUGCUCUGAGCAGCAGACUCGGAGGCCACAGCCGCGCACAGGAAAGUGAGAGGAAGUGGAAACGUGCGAGCAGAGGGCUCAAAGCGACGGGCUCACCACCGG